AAGAAAGCUUGCUUUCUUUGCUGGCGACCGGCGCACGGGUGGGUAACACGUAUCCAACCUACCCUUUACUCGGGGAUAGCCUUUCGAAAGAAAGAUUAAUACCCGAUAGCAUAAUGAUUCCGCAUGGUUUCAUUAUUAAAGGAUUCCGGUAAAGGAUGGGGAUGCGUUCCAUUAGGUUGUUGGUGGGGUAACGGCCCACCAAGCCUUCGAUGGAUAGGGGUUCUGAGAGGAAGGUCCCCCACAUUGGAACUGAGACACGGUCCAAACUCCUACGGGAGGCAGCAUG
rnacentral:rRNA from 1 species